rnacentral:lncRNA from 1 species
GAGUAACGUAAUGGAAGCGUAAAUGUAUUAGAUUAUGAAUCUAAUCCAUCAUUGGAUGUUUCUUCAUUGUGAAUGAAGAGAUAAACAGAUAUCUCUUUAUUAUGACUAAAGAGAUAUUUGGAUGGAAACAUUAAAGUAAUGACUUUAGUGUGUUCCAUUAUGAAUGCAAAAUAUAUUGCCAUAUAAGAAGUUUACAACAAUGUUGUUUGGAUGGGAAAGUUCAUUUAUGAACUCUCUAUUCGAUUCCAACCAGAAAGUGUAUGACACUAAUGGGGCGAUAGCUCAAGCCUGGGAAUCAAGGUCUCAUCAAGAUCCGAACACAAAUGAGAGACUGAACCACAUGAUUGAGAAUCAUGUAUAAUGGUGACGUCGUUAUUCUCAAACGUUGCUUCUAUGGAUAACAUAUAGAUAUCCAUUGACUAGGCCUACUACUCAGCCAUUUAUGAAAUGACUACAGAAGAGGUAUCAUACUGAUGACCAAGCUGAUUGGCUCUAGUGCAAGUGGGAGAUUGUUGGAAAUGUGCUCUAAAGCCAAUCAUAUGAUGAUACUUUACGGACAUUUCACAUGUUAAACUAAUCUA